rnacentral:rRNA from 1 species
CCUUUGUUGCUUCCGUCGGCCGAGAUGCCUGCCCCCUUGCCACUGGCAGUUGGUGGCAUCGACCGGCGGAGGGAUUUUUUGGGAAACCAGUAUUUUAGUCUGAAAAUGUUUACGGAGAUGAAAUUCUCAAAAACAAAACUUUCAACAACGGAUCUCUUGGCUCCUGCAUCGAUGAAGAACGCAGCGAAAUGCGAUAAGUAAUGUGAAUUGCAGAAUUCAGCGAAUCAUCGAGUCUUUGAACGCACAUUGCGCCCUAUGGCUAUUCCGUAGGGCAUGCCCGUCUCAGCGUCAGCAGAAACCCAUCAGGCCAGGCUUUUAAUGUCAGGCCUGGAUUUUGUCAGAGAGGCAUGGAGGCGACAGCCCUCAUGCCCUCUGUAAAGCAAUGGAUAUCUUGGAGAUUUGUUGUCAUCCCAGCGUGAUAGAAAAUUUCGUUCGUUGGGCAAAAUGAUUCUUCAAAAAGGUCCAGAAAACCCCAUUUUUCUAAGAGACUUGACCUGAGAUCGGGUAGGGAUACCCGCUGAACUUAAGCAUAUCAAUAAGCGA